GUUUUAGUUCCUCAGCUCGCAGAGCAUCCCGCUUUUAGCGGGAAGGUCAUUGGUUCGAAUCCAAUCGGUUCA
rnacentral:tRNA from 1 species